AAACACUUCUUACAUGUUUACAGAGAUCUAAAACAGAUGUAAAUAGUCUUAGAUCCAUUCACAUGCGAUAGUAGUUUUUUUAUGAUCGGAUCAUUAUGGGUGCCAGGUAGCCUAGCAGGUAACGCUUUGUGCAAGAAACUGAAAAGGUCGCUAGUUCGAAUCCCUGAGCAGACAAAGUGAGAAAUCAGUGGUUGUGCCCUUGAGCAAGGCACUUAAUCCUAAUUGCUCCAGGGGCGCUGGACAAUAGAGUUCGCCAGCUUGUAGGCUAGUCCUAAAAUGAAUGUGGAAAGAAUGGGGUUUUGGGAUAAAAGCCUGAAAUAAGGUCUUAGGUUAACACAGGCUAAUGAGAUCCUAUAAGUUUUGUUCUAUGAGAUAAUAUUAAUCAGUUAACAUGAAUUAUGAAGCCUGUAUGUGCUUGUUUUGAUGAAAUAAAUACUUAAAAAUUCAUAAAAAGUUACGUUAUCUGGUGAAGAUUAUCUGGAACGCCACCAAGACUAUCAGACUGGACCAGCUAGAAGCCGGGUGAGCACAAACCACUCGUGCCCCUUCAGUGUCCGUUGGUACUAGGGCAUGACCGUCAUCAACGUAGCAAAACAUUUCAUUUCGACAAAGCAUUUGCCAUUGACAUGGGAUCCUCAGCAAUGGAGGAUAGAGAUGAGGCCUUCACAGAGCACCUAUACAGCUGUGGGGCUGUCACAGAGGUCCUCAAAUUCGUCACCUGUAACCUACACUCUGGUAAUCCCCCCCUAAAGUGCUUUUUCUCGUCAUUUCAGACUGAAUGGAAGGAUGAAGCACAAGCUGGUCUUCCUCAGUGAGCACAUUCCCAGGGACACUUGCCUGGUCCUAAUGGGUCACUCCGUCGGCUGCUACAUCAUCCUGGAGAUGUUGACGUUGGUGCAGAUUUGUCAGGCUUUAAAGCGGCAAUCAGCAGUUGAAACAACAACAAAUCGAACUACCCACCACCUUUUCCCUAAAACGACCCAGUCGGGGGAGAAGGGCCUUGGUGUAACGGCAGAUCUCCUCUGAAGAGGAGUAAGGAUCGGACCAAGAUGCAGCGUGUCAAAUCCUGUCCUGCCUUCAGUAGAAGAGUUGAGCUGUUCUCCAACACCAUCCAUCCAAGAUGUGCCUGUCCUGCACUGAAGCAUAUGAACACCUCGACCCCUGUCCUACACUUAAGUCAAGCCUCUGAACACCUUAACUCAUGGCCUCAUACCCUCAUUCAAUCACUGCUGUGAUCCCUUCCCAACACUUUGUAAGUAACCCUCUCAUUCCCAUUCCCCAUAAUGUUGUACUAUUAGUGUAUUUAUUAAAUGCUUUAGGUUGAAAUAAUUAGUAUUUGACGAUUUGUGAAAGCACGCGUUGUCGUCUCAGUGCGGUCCUCUCUGUGGGUCUCUAUACCGUGGGUCUCCCAUCCUCCAAUCAAGUCACCAGCCUCCACUGACUUACCUAACCCAAUAAUUUGGCAAUUGCAUUGACUGCAUUAGCGAGCAGUUUAUACAAGCGGGGGACUAAAAUGUCCCUUGAGCCUCAUGUUUGACCCCUGCUCUAGAGGUCCUCGAUACAAUGGAGAAUAUUGAUGGCUUGUUGACUGCUUGGGUGGGCUCUGGCAAAUUUUCUAUCUGGAUCGUUUUCAUCUGCCUGAUGGGAAUAUUACAUUUUACAAAUGAAUAAAUAAAUACAUUUUGAGACAUUUUCAUAUGCCUUUGUUGUUCAUCUAGAUGAUGAUGGUGUUUCUAUAAAGCAAUAAAAACCUCUCAUUACCUUUCUCUGUCUUCAGGAUUAUAGAUUAAAUGGUGAAUUUCACCACAAGUGUGCUGUCACCAAUCUACCUGUCAUCCCCACAUGAGUUCAGCUGGUCCAGCUUUCCAUAACUGUACUUUCCACCUGAUGUCAC